rnacentral:lncRNA from 1 species
GAGACUACAAGACUGCAGAAAGCAAUUCUUGAUCACUGUCAAAUCUGGAUUUAUUUUGGAAAUUGUCUCCUGGAGAUCAUUCUUUCAGGAAUGAGGGCACAGUUCUGUGAAGGAUUUGAGAAGCCCUAGAAGGAAUAUUUCCAAGUCUUGUAUCUCUGCCAAGAAGAUAAAUAGUUUAUAACAGGAGAACAGACUGAAAGAAGACAAAAUGAGUUGACCAUUUCAGAAAUAUCAACCAGCUACUCGUGGUGUCCUCUAGGGAAAAAAAUAAAAA